GUGUUUCGAGGAGGUGUUGGAGUGGGUGGUGUGGUAAGAUUUCAUAUUUAUUUUCCAUAAAAAUUGAGAUCUUGCCAAUACCGCCCAUUCCUAUGGCUUCUGAUCAUUUCU